GAUGAAGAACGUAGCGAAAUGCGAUAAGUAAUGUGAAUUGCAGAAUUCAGUGAAUCAUCGAAUCUUUGAACGCACAUUGCGCCCGCCAGUAUUCUGGCGGGCAUGCCUGUCUGAGCGUCAUUUCAACCCUCACGCCCCUAGGGCGUGGUGUUGGGGAUCGGCCAAAGCCCGCGAGGGACGGCCGGCCCCUAAAUCUAGUGGCGGACCCGUCGUGACCUCCUCUGCGAAGUAGUGAUAUUCCGCAUCGGAGAGCGAUGAGCCCCUGCCGUUAAACCCCCAACUUUCCAAGGUUGACCUCAGAUCAGGUAGGAAUACCCGCUGAACUUAAGCAUAUCAAUAAGCGGAGGA
rnacentral:misc_RNA from 1 species